GCCGCAUUAGCUCAGUUGGUAGAGCACAUCAUUCGUAAUGAUGGGGUCACUGGUUCAAGCCCGGUAUGCGGCACCA
rnacentral:tRNA from 1 species